rnacentral:ncRNA from 1 species
GUGUUGUAAGAAAGGAGAGAAGGUUAGCACUCCCCUUGAUAAGGACGGAAGAGACCCUUGUGGUCUUACAAACACAUUAGGCCAUGCCCUCUACUUAGGGGCAUACCCAAUUUUUUU